rnacentral:rRNA from 1 species
UACGUAGGGUGCGAGCGUUGUCCGGAAUUAUUGGGCGUAAAGAGCUUGUAGGCGGUUUGUCGCGUCUGCUGUGAAAAUCCGGGGCUCAACCCCGGACUUGCAGUGGAUACGGGCAGACUAGAGUUCGGUAGGGGAGACUGGAAUUCCUGGUGUAGCGGUGAAAUGCGCAGAUAUCAGGAGGAACACCGGUGGCGAAGGCGGGUCUCUGGGCCGAUACUGACGCUGAGGAGCGAAAGCGUGGGGAGCGAACAGG